UACGUAGGUGGCAAGCGUUGUCCGGAGUUAUUGGGCGUAAAGCGCGCGCAGGCGGUUGGAUAAGUCCAUGGUGAAAGCGCCUGGCUCAACUAGGCGAGUGCCGUGGGGACUGUUCAGCUGGAGUGGAGCAGAGGCGAGUGGAAUUCCGGGUGUAGUGGCGAAAUGCGUAGAGAUCCGGAGGAACACCAGAGGCGAAGGCGGCUCGCUGGGCUUUGACUGACGCUGAGGCGCGAAAGCGUGGGGAGCGAACCGG
rnacentral:rRNA from 1 species